rnacentral:lncRNA from 1 species
AUGUCUUGUAUGAAUUGUCUUAUGCUUUGCAUUCUGAAAUUAAUUUGUUGUUAUUGUUUCUCCUUCCAGUUCGUUAAAUCACGAUUUGGUGGAGCACAGUCAGCCUCAGUAAAGCCAAAUUUAGUAUGUAGAAAGACUCCCAGCCCUUCUCCUUCUCCUCCAUCCACCGUGAAGACCCCGAGCCUAACUUCAUCCUCUGUGAUGACCUCCUCUAUGGCCUCCAUGAGGACCCCCAGCCCUGCUCCAUCCUCUGUGAUGACCCCCUCUAUGGCCUCCAUGAGGACCCCCAGCCCUGCUCCAUCCUCUGUGAUGACCCCCUCUAUGGCCUCCAUGAGGACCCCCAGCCCUGCUCCAUCCUCUGUGAUGACCCCCUCUGCGGCCUCCAUGAGGACCCCCAGCCCUGCUCCAUCCUCUGUGAUGACCCCCUCUGCGGCCUCCAUGAGGACACCCAGCCCUGCUCCAUCCUCUGUGAUGACCCCCUCUGCGGCCUCCAUGAGGACCCCCAGCCCUGCUCCAUCCUCUGUGAUGACCCCCUCUAUGGCCUCCAUGAGGACCCCCAGCCCUGCUCCAUCUUCUGUGAUGACCCCCUCUAUGGCCUCCAUGAGGACCCCCAGCCCUGCUCCAUCCUCUGUGAUGACCCCCUCUAUGGCCUCCAUGAGGACCCCCAGCCCUGCUCCAUCCUCUGUGAUGACCCCCUCUGCGGCCUCCAUGAGGACACCCAGCCCUGCUCCAUCCUCUGUGAUGACCCCCUCUGCGGCCUCCAUGAGGACCCUCAGCCCUGCUCCAUCCUCUGUGAUGACCCCCUCUAUGGCCUCCAUGAGGACACCCAGCCCUGCUCCAUCCUCUGUGAUGACCCCCUCUGCGGCCUCCAUGAGGACCCCCAGCCCUGCUCCAUCCUCUGUGAUGACCCCCUCUAUGGCCUCCAUGAGGACCCCCAGCCCUGCUCCAUCCUCUGUGAUGACCCCCUCUAUGGCCUCCAUGAGGACCCCCAGCCCUGCUCCAUCCUCUGUGAUGACCCCCUCUGCGGCCUCCAUGAGGACACCCAGCCCUGCUCCAUCCUCUGUGAUGACCCCCUCUAUGGCCUCCAUGAGGACCCUCAGCCCUGCUCCAUCCUCUGUGAUGACCCCCUCUAUGGCCUCCAUGAGGACCCUCAGCCCUGCUCCAUCCUCUGUGAUGACCCCCUCUAUGGCCUCCAUGAGGACACCCAGCCCUGCUCCAUCCUCUGUGAUGACCCCCUCUGCGGCCUCCAUGAGGACACCCAGCCCUGCUCCAUCCUCUGUGAUGACCCCCUCUAUGGCCUCCAUGAGGACCCCCAGCCCUGCUCCAUCCUCUGUGAUGACCCCCUCUAUGCCUCCAUGA